CGCCGCCACUGAUAUAUACCAUAGCUAAACACUAUAGGAUGGUAACUCCGUUUAAUACAUAAACCCACCUGACUCUGGUACUUUAUACUGACACUGCACACAGAGCACUGAGAUGCCAUGAGGAGGCACUGUUUAACAACACGGAAUGAGCCUAUACUUCUGGGAAGACAGAUGCUUAGCAGCCUAUAUCUGAUGGUCCCAUCGCCACUACUGACGAGGAGAGGAUAGAGCGGGUUCAAAGAAAAAGGAUAAAGGUCGAAAAGAGUAGAAGACAGAAGUGAAAGGAGGGAAAUAAAAGGAUAGGAGAAGGGGGCAGAGCUGGAAGUCAGGAAAUAGGGGCGCUCCCUGGCCUUUCGUUUUGAGAGGGCGGUAACGCUGGCUUCCCGGUCCGGUGACGUCAUGGACACUCAUUAGACUGACAAGCCACCUGUGGGGCCGCUCGUGCUUUAAAGCGACAGCUGUGCGAAUGAGCUUGAACCAUUCCAACUGCACAUUGACAUUGACGAGCCUCAGGGCCAGGCUGUCAACUAAGCAGUGGUGAACAAGAUGCUGAACAAAAUAGACAACCGAAUUUACGAGCACCAAAGCGCGAGGUCGGUUUGUGUCCAGCAGUAGGGGAAACGUACUUCAACAAGAGACGCCCUGCAAGAGACGCCUAUAGGCGGUGGCGGCAGAACUGAUGCAUGUUGCACUGAUGCAUCUCAUCAAAUAAGCUUUUUCCUCGUCAAUCACCCGAGACAAGACAACGCCGUCCUUCAGGAAAAUCGACUGCUGCCACGUCUCUUCUGAAAUGACACGACAUGGUGGUGACAACAGACACUUGCAACAGACACAUGCAGCGGCCGGUUGGAGUCCCAGAAGUUGAGCCGGACGCUAAUUGUAUCAACAGGUCUCGGACUGUGAUGUGGAACUGAGGCGGGAGUGAAGCUGAGAAUUACAACAGGUGGUGGCAGGGUGGUGGAAUUCGAUCUGGAAAAUUCAAAUCACUGACAACAUUGGGACAUGUUAGAAGGUAAUAUUUAUAAAGGAAGCCAAUCCAGGCAAUAUAUUCCAAUGAAGAAGUGGCAAAAAUAUGAUCUGACAGGGUCAGACCAGUGUUCAGUUCUUUCUGAGAAUCUAAAGUAGGAUGUUUUUUGUCCUCGUUAAAGUCUAUUUGAAUGUUGUGUUUGUGACAGACUUGGUAAAUAUAAGUCCAAAUAAGGCCUCAAAGACAUACAUUUUUUCUGGAGUUUCAUGGACAUUGUAUAUAGGAUUUGUUUGAGGUUGAUUGUGUCUGAUUCCAAAACUAUCAGCUAAUGGUGUUGGGAAGUUGUUUUCAUUCUGGUGCAGAACUAGUUUUGGAAUCUUGUAAAACCACCCCGGCCGCACUCCUCCUAUGUUACACAAUGGAGCCAGACCUCCCACAUACCACUGCUUUCUGGAACAGGUCUGGCUCUGAUCUGGCUCAGGUCUGGCUCUAAUCUGGCUCUGAUCUGGCUCAGGUCUGGCUCUGAUCUGGCUCUGAUCUGGCUCAGGUCUGGCUCUGAUCUGGCUGUGAUCUGGUUGUGAUGUGUGCUAAGCUGAAGCUCACUCCCUGGCGGUGCAGCUGAAAGGCAGCACCUGCCACACGCCUGGGUGAGAGAGCGCACAGGUAAUUAAGUGGAGCUCGACAUGCCCCCCACCCCCACCCCUUAAGGCAAUUAACAGAAAUCAUAUGCUCUCAGAAGCUCCAAUUAGCUACAUUUUGCCUGGUCAGUUGGUCGGACAGAAAGACUGCCCUCUUCUUGUAGUGAAAAUAAUCACUAGUGGGACAGUGGUAAUAAUCACAUCAUGCACAGACACAAAAAGUUAUACUGCGCAUCAUACUGCAUGGCUACUAAUCAUAUCACACAACAAAUGGCCAUGUCCAUAAACCUCUCUGAAUCAUCGGUCAUCUAUGGGCUCACUCACAAAAGAUUCACUGGUGAUGACUGUUAGAUCAUUCUGUAGAUCAUUUCCACUGUGUUUUAUUUGAACUAUCCAAAAGAAGUGGCCAUGUAAGUGGUAUCAUUUGCUUACUAAAAAUCAGUGACGGAAAGCAAAAUUGACAAAUAAACCAGAGCUGCGUGAAUCAAAAACACAAAAAAUUUAAUUAAUUAAUAAAUCAAUUCCGCAAAACUACAAAAUGUCAACAAUCUGAAUUGUUUGACCAGAUCCUCUCUUUUAGGAAAUCCAGGCAUCAGAAUUCGACAGUCAGUGCCGUUCCACUGCUGUAGAGUGCUAAUUGGAGAAGGGACAUUUUAAUAUUUGGCCACACUACUGACAGUCAGCCAUGUAUGGUGCAGCUUUCAGUUGCCUCCAACAUGAAAUUUAGCCAAGAAGGAUGGAAGAUAAACUGAUUAGAUCCUUUCAGAGUUUGAGGAUAGGGUAGGCUAUUUGAGACCACAAAGAUCUAUUUGCAGACCCUUUCAAAUUGAUCCUUUCAUUUAAACCAAAUUUUCAGUUUGACAAUAGACUGUACAAACACAUAGGCUGUGAGGUUGCCGAUAUAAACGGGCUGCAAGUGGAAAAUUGUACGCACAGAAAUUUUCCUAAAAUCCUUAUUCAGGAACAAGGGCAGUGUAUCUCACUGACACAUACAAGUAGUCAGUUCUGCUUCUGAUUAAACUCUUAUAAAACAUUUUAAAUGGCCAGUCUAGUUAAAUACUAACCAUGUUAUUUUACCAGAAUCUGAUCCAAUAGCCAAAACAUAUUCUUUAAAACAUUCCAGUGCCCUGUGGUAAUAUACCAUCAGACUAAAACAAGUGAUAUAAUGUACUUUUAUGAAAUUCUUUUUACGAAUUUCCUGUGCAAAUGAGGGGAAAUGUCGAUAGUGCCAGAUGUCAUACAAAUGGUAAUUUGCAAAAGCAUUUAUGAAUGAAAAAGAUGGUAUCAUUACACCCUGUGACAUUCUGGGAAUGUCAUGGGUA